rnacentral:tRNA from 2 species
GGGCAAUUAGCUCAGCGGCAGAGCGCUUGCAUCACACGCAAGAAGCCGCAGGUUCGAAUCCUGCAUUGCCCA